rnacentral:rRNA from 1 species
GACGAACGCUGGCGGCGUGCUUAACACAUGCAAGUCUAACGCUGAAGCCCAGCUUGCUGGGUGGAUGAGUGGCGAACGGGUGAGUAACACGUGAGUAACCUGCCCUUCACUUCAGGAUAACUCCGGGAAACCGGUGCUAAUACUGGAUAUGACUCCAGCCUGCAUGGGUGGGGGUGGAAAGAUUUAUCGGUGGUGGAUGGACUCGCGGCCUAUCAGCUUGUUGGUGGGGUAAUGGCCUACCAAGGCGACGACGGGUAGCCGGCCUGAGAGGGUGACCGGCCACACUGGGACUGAGACACGGCCCAGACUCCUACGGGAGGCAGCAGUGGGGAAUAUUGCACAAUGGGCGAAAGCCUGAUGCAGCGACGCCGCGUGCGGGAUGACGGCCUUCGGGUUGUAAACCGCUUUCAGCUCUGACGAAGCUUUUGUGACGGUAGGAGCAGAAGAAGCACCGGCUAACUACGUGCCAGCAGCCGCAGUAAGAC